GGAGAGUUGCUAGAGUGGUAAUAGGCCGGUUUGCUAAACCGAGGCGGGUGUAAAAGCCUACGUGGGUUCGAGUCCCACACUCUCCUC
rnacentral:tRNA from 1 species